AUACUGACCGCCGAAGACAGCAGGUGUCCGAGUGGACUUAAUAUCCCGCCGAGGUAGAGAUGUAUAAUCCUUUUAUUGUGAUUAUUCGUAUCCCUCGUCGUGGCGGCGAGGGAUUUUAGC
rnacentral:sRNA from 2 species